GAGUCAUUGGGACUCUAAUAAACCUAAAGGCGCAAUGAAAGUAAAGGUCCGCCUCGCGCGGACCGAGGGAAGAUAGGCCCGUCCACGGGCGGGCCUCGCACUCCCGGGGCGUCUCGUUCUCAUCGCGAGAAGAGGCGCACCCAGAGCGUACACGCUGGGACCCGAAAGAUGGUGAACUAUGCCUGGUCAGGACGAAGUCAGGGGAAACCCUGAUGGAGGUCCGUAGCGAUUCUGACGUGCAAAUCGAUCGUCGGAACUGGGUAUAGGGGCGAAAGACUAAUCGAACCAUCUAGUAGCUGGUUCCCUCCGAAGUUUCCCUCAGGAUAGCUGGCGCUCGCCUUUGCGAGUCUCAUUCGGUAAAGCGAAUGAUUAGAGGCAUUGGGGUCGAAACGGCCUCAACCUAUUCUCAAACUUUAAAUGGGUGAGAUCCCCGGCUUGCUUAAAGCAUGAAGCCGCGAGAGAUCGGAUCACAGAGUGCCAAGUGGGCCACUUUUGGUAAGCAGAACUGGCGCUGUGGGAUGAACCAAACGCAGAGUUAAAGCGCCCAAAUCGACGCUUAUGGGAUACCAUGAAAGGCGUUGGUAA
rnacentral:rRNA from 1 species